ACAAUUUCAAGUAUAAGUGUGAAUGAUCUAAAUGCUUGAUACAGAAGAAACAAAAAUGAGAGAGAAGCAGCAAGGUCCCGUUAUUCUUUCUCUGCCGUCAACUUCUUAAUCUUCUUGCCGGUAAUCAGUUGUACAAUUUUCAUUCUUAAGCAGUUGCCCUCCUAGACCACACGUGAAUAUCGUUUGGCUUUUAAAACGUGUUAAAAAGUGAUAAAUUAAUACAUAAAAAGUGAUCGGAGGACUGUGUUGUGAGUUUGUGGUUUAAUAUAGAGACAGACAAGUAUAUUUUUUUAAUGGUGAAUUUAACUUUUUUAAAGGUGCUCCGCUAGACGGAUCUUAACGUACAUACAUAUGCACUUAUAUAUGCAUGUACAUGUACAUACAUGUGUAUUUUACUAUGUGAAGUUUUGUAAAUAUAAUCAAGAUGCCAAUGGCACACGGCGGGACAAAUGGAAAUAAAUUCAUUACAAAUAUUCGGACUCGAAAUUGAAAUGGAAACGGAAGUAAGAUGCUAAAUAUAUAAACAAUCCAAGGUAAAACUGCUUAAUAAUUAUUCAAUCCUUUAUUGGGAUUUGAAUAGUAUCAAAAAUUGAGUGAACGUCUAUAUAUAUCCAAGUAGAAAUACACGGAAGGAAAAUGGAAAUGCGAUGGUCAAUAACAACUGUAAAUAAUAUGGAAAUUAAGGUUAGUGUUCUUUUUAUAGUCUAUUAAAUAAGAAAAACUGAAAUUAGGUCGCAAAGUAACGGUUAUCUUACAGGCGAUGUUUCGUCAAUAUAGGGUUUCUUUUUUUUUUUAUAUAUAUAAUGUUGGGUUAUUGAAGGGAUUUGCAUUAGUCAGCUGAAGAACAACAAAAUCUAUGUCCACUUGCUAUGGGGUAAAAAAUCCCAAGGACGUCCAGGGACGGGUAUAAAAACAAAGACGAGGAUGUGGCUAUGGCUGUGUGAUCUGGGGACACCUGGCCAUAUGCCAGUAUGACCAUCAUGGACGCAUAUGUGUUGACAAGAGUGCGCCACAAGUGUGUGCGAACGAUGGAGGCACCGAAUGGUCGAAAGGGGCUAGAAAAAGGGGGAGACAAAUAGGAUGGAACGAUAAGAGGGUUACAUGAAGGAAAGGACGCAAGAAAAGACACACAAAAGAUUGUCAGCUAAGCCAAAGGAAAGUGUUCCCAAAACGAAAAAUCCUUUAAGAGAUUUUCAUGAUUCCAAAAUGAAACUUAACUUACUUUUUACUACUACUCUAUCCAGUAACAAGUUCAACUCUUUUACAUUUUUUUUUUCGAUGUUCGAAAAUUUUUACCUUAUUUUAAAAAGAUCUUGUAAGCCGGAAAGUCCUGGCUUUAUACAGGUUAUGAAGCUGAAAGACAACGGUUGUCUGGCAUUUUAUACCUGUUUGGCCGCCUUUGUUCGGCAAGCGAAACGAGCUUUCGGGUCCUGAGCUGCACAAGUAUUCUGACAUUCAGAGGGUAUCUAUUCUACGUUACAGCUGUGAUGAUAAAUUUAGGGAAAUAUACCUAAUGUUAAUGUUUAUAAAAAAAAAAUGAUAUUUGACAUCUUGGUUAUAAAUUGCAUACUAAUUCGAAAGCUUUUUAGGAAUUGUCAAAUAUUCGAGUAUUUGUACUAUUUUUUUGACCACGAUUGUAGAUAUAUAUGUACACAUAUUUGAGUGUGUUUUUGUGUGUGUGUGUGUGUGUGCCAGGCCCCGGCAGCCACUGCAUUGAAAAGUAAAACAAUAAAAUUGUACAUGGCCCAUAAAAAAGCAUAAAUAUGACGAAUGUACAGAGAGUGGAAGGGAGGCAGAUAGAUAUAGGGAGUGAGUAGGACAGAGUGUCCAAUUGCCUCAGUAUGUGUACUUAUGUGCGUUUGUGUAUGUGGCCCACUUGGGUAUUGUUUGUCUGUCUGUGUGCGGCCGUGUGUUUGUGUUUGUACUGGCCGCUUUUAGGCGCUGUACUCAAUGCUGGUUAUAAAUUUUAUCACUAUCAACGCUGGAUAAUAAAUUCGUACGCCUUGUGGAUUUGUGUAAAUUUGCCCAACGCACACACACACACACACACACACACGCAUAGUCGUACAGCCGCACCCACACACAAAAACAUAUAUACGACCAUAUGCUGCUUAAAUGCUGUUUUCAUUGCAUACUUUUGUGCGCACGUUUUUACGGGGCUUCACACUAAAGUACUCACAUGUGGUGUUCUCUCAAAUUGCAACUACGUGCAGCAUGCAUAUCCACAUCCUUCAAAAAAAAAAAAAAAAAACUACAACAAAAUAUUUAUUUGCUUCCUGUACGGAAAAUGUGAAGCUCUCGAAAGAUUGAGGCUUAGCUGAGGAAGUGAAGUACCCGGCAUUUCUCGAUAAUAAAGUGUUUGAAGCAUAGAAACAGGUGUAUCCUUUGCAUCAGUAUUCAG